UUUCUAUUUCUCUUUCAUUCUCUUUUCUUCUCUUUCUUCUUCUUCCGUCCCUCUCCUGUUCUUCUUCUGAUAAUGAUUCCGAGAAUUAGUUCAUGAUUCUGAGUUGAUAUAAAGCUGGUAGAGAUCGAAGGUUAACUGAUGGUGGUUCUGUUGGUCGAUCUGGUGAAAUUAAACCCAACAGGAAAGGUAAAACAGAGAUUUGAAUUAGGGUUUUGAGUAUGAAUUCGAGUUUAUAAUAGAAUUGAUGGGUUAAUUGAGCCGUGGAUAGAUGAGAAAACGAGGGUUGUGGAUGAAUUUUUGUAUUGAAGUUGUUCUGUUGAUGAAUUGAAGAGUUAGGGUUCUGGAAGAAAUCCAAAGAAUAAUUUGAAGAUGAAAUUGAGAGUUUAAAGGAGAGUUUUGAGAUGGGUAUUGAUCGAUUGGAUGAACUAGAGUCAGAGAUGAAGAGUAGUUCGAGUUUGAUGUAGUUAGGGUUUUGAUAUUGAUUAUGAAGCUAGGGCUUGGUUCUGUUAAUAAGGAAAUGAUGGAGUUAUCUCUGGUGAUGAAUUGGUUGAUGUUUGAGCAAAUCUGAUUUGAGGUUGUUGAUUGUAGUUGAAGUUUAAAUGAUUGAGUUAGGCAAAUAGUGUUGGUGGUGUUGAAUAAGAGGUGUUGUUGUUGUGUAGGUUAUGUGGUUGUAGAUGAAACUGAAGUUGAGAUGGACAUUGUAUAUAUGUAAUACAACUGUGGUUGUUUUUGAAGAUGAAUGUUUUCUGUGUGGUGUUGAAAUUAGGUAAUAGAUUGUAAGAAGUAUGAUUUGCAAGUGGUGGAAAUUCUGUGAGAUUACAAGGCAAUAGAUAUAAUGGUGACAGUGGUGCUGGUGUUAUAGCUCAUGGUUGGCAGUGAUGUUGAAGUUCAAGGGAUGUGGAUGAACUGAGGUUGCGAUGAAUUGGGUAUUCGUUCUGUUGAUGCUUUGAAGUGUAUGUGACUAAGAAGAUGGUCAUAUCAUUGUUACUGGUAUUGAAUUGUAGGUGGCGCAGGUUUGGUUAACUUCGGAAAUUGGGGAUGGUGAUGAAGCUGAAUUGAUAAAUACAGUUUGUGUUCUGAUGUUGAGAAUGGUGGUGGAUGUGAGAAUCUCAAAUAGAACUGGAGUUAGCUGUGGUGGUAGUUGAGAUGGAGAGAAUGAUUGAAGUUAUUUGUGGAUGGUUAUAAUCUCAACUGAAGUGCAAAUGUUUAGUGUAAAAUUGUACUGAGUUACAAGUUGUAGUGGUGUUGUUGAAGUUGCAGGGGAUAUGAGUGGCUGGUGGAAGUUUAGGAAUUGUUUUGAGAUAUGGAAUAGAGUCAUAGUUACAACUUGUUGAGCUGAAUUGUUUGAUGUAGUGUUGUUGUUUUAGUUGAAGCUUAAAGCAGCCUUUGCAGGUAAAGCUUAAAUUGCAGUUGUAUUGAAAUUAUAAAAUUGUAUAUAAUGAAAGUUUGUAUUUUGAUCAAAUGGA